UUCGUACUCCAACCGUCCCAAAAAGUUCGCCUUACAUUUGCUUAGAUAUGGAUGAAUGUAGACACGUUUUAGUAUUAGAUACAUCCAAAUCUAGACAAAUACAAGCUUUUUGGGACGGAGUAGUAUUUU
rnacentral:pre_miRNA from 1 species